CAGUCGCCACGGUAACACGGAGGGUGCAAGCGUUAAUCGGAAUUACUGGGCGUAAAGCGCACGCAGGCGGUCUGACAAGUCAGAUGUGAAAUCCCCGGGCUUAACCUGGGAACUGCAUUUGAAACUGUCAGGCUGGAGUCUUGUAGAGGGGGGUAGAAUUCCAGGUGUAGCAGUGAAAUGCGUAGAGAUCUGGAGGAAUACCGGUGGCGAAGGCGGCCCCCUGGACAAAGACUGACGCUCAGGUGCGAAAGCGUGGGGAGCAAACAGGAUUAGAUACCCGCGUAGUCCCUGUCUCUUAUAC
rnacentral:rRNA from 1 species